GAUGAACGCUAGCUACAGGCUUAACACAUGCAAGUCGAGGGGAAACGAGAGGGAAGCUUGCUUUCCUUGUCGACGACCGGCGCACGGGUGAGUAACGCGUAUCCAACCUGCCCCCAACUAAGGAAUAACCUUGCGAAAGUAAGACUAAUACCCUAUAAUUUCCUCAGAUGACAUCUGACGAGGAAUAAGGAUUUAUCGGUUGUGGAUGGGGAUGCGUCUGAUUAGCUUGUUGGCGGGGUAACGGCCCACCAAGGCAACGAUCAGUAGGGGUUCUGCGAGGAAGGUCCCCCACAUUGGAACUGAGACACGGUCCAAACUCCUACGGGAGGCAGCAGUGAGGAAUAUUGGUCAAUGGGCGGAAGCCUGAACCAGCCAAGUAGCGUGCAGGAUGACGGCCCUAUGGGUUGUAAACUGCUUUUAUACAGGAAUAAAGUUAGCCACGUGUGGUUAUUUGUAGGUACUGUAUGAAUAAGGACCGGCUAAUUCCGUGCCAGCCGCCGCAGUAA
rnacentral:rRNA from 1 species